rnacentral:rRNA from 1 species
UACAGAGGGGGCAAGCGUUGUUCGGAAUUACUGGGCGUAAAGGGCGCGUAGGCGGCCUUCUAAGUCGAACGUGAAAUCCCUGGGCUCAACCCAGGAACUGCGUCCGAUACUGGAAGGCUUGAAUCCGGGAGAGGGAUGCGGAAUUCCAGGUGUAGCGGCGAAAUGCGUAGAUAUCUGGAGGAACACCGGUGGCGAAGGCGGCAUCCUGGACCGGUAUUGACGCUGAGGCGCGAAAGCCAGGGGAGCAAACGGG